rnacentral:rRNA from 1 species
UACGUAGGUGACAAGCGUUGUCCGGAUUUAUUGGGCGUAAAGCGAGCGCAGGCGGUCUUUUAAGUCUGAUGUGAAAGCCCACGGCUCAACCGUGGAUGGUCAUUGGAAACUGGAAGACUUGAAUGCAGAAGAGGAAAGUGGAAUUCCAUGUGUAGCGGUGAAAUGCGUAGAUAUAUGGAGGAACACCAGUGGCGAAGGCGACUUUCUGGUCUGUAAUUGACGCUGAGGCUCGAAAGCGUGGGGAGCAAACAGGAUUAGAUACCCUGGUAGUCCACGCCGUAAACGAUGAGUGCUAAGUGUUGGAGGGUUUCCGCCCUUCAGUGCUGGAGCUAACGCAUUAAGCACUCCGCCUGGGGAGUACGGCCGCAAGGCUGAA